UAGAAGGAUAGAGUUUGAUCCUGGCUCAGAGCGAACGCUGGCGGCGUGCUUAACACAUGCAAGUCGAACGUGAAAGGGAGCAAUCCUAAGUAAAGUGGCGUACGGGUGAGUAACGCGUAGGUAAUCUACCCCAAAAUUUGGAAUAACCGGCCGAAAGGCUGGCUAAUACUGAAUAGAGCGAUGGAAUCCGUAAUUGGGUUUUUCGGGAAAGGGAGGAAGCAAUUCCCUUCGUUUUGGGAUGAGCCUGCGUCUCAUUAGCUAGUUGGUGGGGUAAUGGCCCACCAAGGCUUUGAUGGGUAGCUGGUCUGAGAGGAUGAUCAGCCACACUGGAACUGAAACACGGUCCAGACUCCUACGGGAGGCAGCAGUGGGGAAUCUUGCGCAAUGGACGAAAGUCUGACGCAGCCACGCCGCGUGAGUGAAGAAGGCCUUCGGGUUGUAAAGCUCUGUCGCCCGGGACGAAAAUCCGGUGAGUGAAUAGCUCAUCGGACUGACGGUACCGGGAAAGGAAGCACCGGCUAACUCCGUGCCAGCAGCCGCGGUAAUACGGAGGGUGCAAGCGUUGCUCGGAAUUAUUGGGCGUAAAGGGUGGUAGUGGUCUCGUUUGUCUGGGGUGAAAGCCUUGAGCUUAACUCAAGAAGUGCCCCAGAAACGGCGAGACUAGAGUCCUGGAGAGGGUCGUGGAAUUCCCGGUGUAGCGGUGAAAUGCGUAGAGAUCGGGAGGAACACCAGAGGCGAAAGGCGCGACCUGGACAGGUACUGACACUCAACUACGAAAGCGUGGGGAGCAAACAGGAUUAGAUACCCUGGUAGUCCACGCUGUAAACGAUGGGUACUAGGUUUGGUGGGUCUUGACCCCCGCCGAACCGGCGCUAACGCAAUAAGUACCCCGCCUGGGAAGUACGGUCGCAAGACUAAAACUCAAAGGAAUUGACGGGGGCCCGCACAAGCGGUGGAUCAUGUGGUUUAAUUCGAAGCAACGCGAAGAACCUUACCUGGAUUUGACAUCUCCUGACAACCCUAGAGAUAGGGCUUCUGUAGCAAUACAGCAGGAAGACAGGUGCUGCAUGGCUGUCGUCAGCUCGUGUGGUGACAUGUUGGGUUAAGUCCCGCAACGAGCGCAACCCUUGUCCUUAGUUGCCAGCAUUAAGUUGGGCUCUCUAAGGAGACUGCCGUGGUUAACACGGAGGAAGGUGGGGAUGACGUCAAGUCCUCAUGGCCUUUAUAUCCAGGGCGACACACGUGAUACAAUGGACGGUACAGAGGGACGCCAAGAGGCAACUCGGAGCUAAUCUCAAAAAGCCGUUCUCAGUUCGGAUUGGAGUCUGCAACUCGACUCCAUGAAGUUGGAAUCGCUAGUAAUCGCGGAUCAGCACGCCGCGGUGAAUACGUUCCCGGGCCUUGUACACACCGCCCGUCACACCAUGGGAGCUGACUCAACCAGAAGACGUUCAGGCUAACCGUAAGGAGGCCUCCGGCGAAGGUGGGGUUGGUGACUGGGGUGAAGUCGUAACAAGGUAGCCGUAGGGGAACCUGCGGCUGGAUCACCUCCUUAUCUUGCUAAAAACUCGAGCC
rnacentral:rRNA from 1 species